UCAGAUGGCCGGGUGACCGCGGGCAGGGCAACCUGUUCGAGGAAAGUCCGGGCUCCACGGAAAGACGGUGCCGGUUAACGGCCGGCGGGGGCGACCCCAGGGAUAGCGCCACAGAAAUGACACCGCCUAAGGGCCUAAAGCCCCGGCAAGGUUGAAAUGGUGCGGUAAGAGCGCACCGCGUCUCUGGCAACAGAGGCGGCACGGCAAGCCCCACCGGGAGCAAGACCAAAUAGGGACGGCACGUGAUGUUUUCCGCAUCGCCGUCCGGGUCGGUCGCGUGAGGUGUGUGGCGACACACAUCCCAGAGGAAUGGUCAUCCAGUCACUUCGGUGAUGGACAGAACCCGGCUUACAGGCUGUCUGACAUU
rnacentral:RNase_P_RNA from 1 species